AAAUGGCGCCCAACGUGGGGCCCGAAUGGUCCGUUUUCCCCAAUAACCUUCCCCAAUCCCUUCCGCAACCCAAUAUUGAUCCAAAUUUUAAAGUAGUUCAGUUUUUGUGUUAUAUAUCCAGCUCGGAACCGCUGGGAAUCUGAUCAUUGUCGGACCCAGACCAGUGGAUAUAUUGCAUAGAAGAAGAUCACAGUAGACUUCAUUAUAUCAUUUCAUUAGGAUACUAGGAAUGAUAGUUCUGAGUAAAUUGGUUCUAUACCUAGUAGCGAAGAUGAAUGACCUUUAUUCUCUCGAGAUUAGUUGAGACUUGUUCAGACUGGAGAAUUCGGUCCUGUUCCUCCUUUUCUCGAAAGGAUCAUCACCCAAAUUUUCUUUUCUUUCUUUCUGCUUACGGACUUAAGGUUAUAACAACCGAAGACAUUCCUUCUGCUGUGCUGGUGCCUGGUAGGAGACCCUCCCAAUCAUUGCCCAUAUUUUCGAAUUUAGAAUCAAAGAAAAAAAAAUCUUUCUGGUCUUAAAGACCAUAUCGUUAUAUAACUUAUAUCGUUUUUCCUUAAUCAUAAUUUGUUACAAUGGCGGUAAGGCGGAGUAUUGGCAAUAUAAAUGUUAAUCUCGUCGAGGUAGUCGUACACUGCACUAUAUGCAAUGAUACUAGCCAGGACACCGACAUUGUAGAAACCCAUUGCAAACACAAAUACCACAGGUCGUGUUUAUCGGAUUGGUUGACAUCCAAUGAGACAUGCCCGAUUUGUAGGCAGCUGUGUUCGUUACCGUUGCGUUCACAAUCUCAAUCGAAUUUAUAGAGUGGGGAAAAUGCCGCGGAAAGGGUUAACCGAUCGAUUAAUGCCGCGCUCAGAGCGUACGUUAGUACUGACCAUCGUGAAUGGGAUGUGUUCCUUAGUAGCAUAAACUGUUCGUUGAGAAAAUCAAUACACCAAUCAGUUGGCAUGGCACCAUAUUUCGUGGUCUUUGGUCAGCACAUGAUUUCACAUGGCCAAGAUUACAAAAUGUUGCGAGAAGUCGAAUUACUCAACGAGGGCGAGGGAAAAUUGUCAAGAGCUGACGAAUUUCAGAAGAUUCGCUCAAACAUCGAGAAACACCUGACAAAAGCUUACAAGAGAAAUCAACGCACUUACGACCUGAGAUCCAAGCCUCGUUCGUUUGAGGUAGGUCAAGAAGUAAUAAAGAUAAACUUUUCUUUGAGUAGCGCGUCCAAUAACGUUAACGCUAAACUAGUUCCAGUUGGAGUGAAGGCUCGCGUAAAGCAGAAAUGUGGCCAACUGAUUUAUCUACUGGAAGACUUGAACGGUAAAGAACUGGGGAAAUUUCACAUAAAGGAUAUUUGGUCGCUAGAGACAAAAGUCUGCACCCUUCCUUGUUGUUGUUUCAGUUUUAUCUUUGGUCAAAACCCUAAGAUAAAAUCUGGCGGGGGGUGUGAAGGUUGCAGACCAAAAACAAAAGGUUAGAAUGUCUGUUUUUUUUUGGGGAACAGUCUUCUAAUUUUAUCAAGAAAAUAUUGAACCUCCCCCACUGUACGCAUUCCAGCGAGAGCCCACAUGCAAGAUCAGAAGCUGUUAUCUUGAAAAGCUCUCUCUUUCGAAAUUGCAUGUGCGAGCACCGUUCACAUGUGAGCUUUUCUCUCUGCAAACAUAGCUUACGGCUAGCCCUUCGAGAACCUUCUUAGCUCUCUCACACACAGCUUUUGGAGGGGUAAAAUAGUUAGGCUAAGUGCAUGCUGCACAGACCAAAAAUUGCAUUCAAGGUUGGAAGACUUAAUUGAUGUGCGUGUAGAAAAUAUACAAAACAAAAAAAUGUGGUGAAAAUUUUGUUGGUGCUUGCAUAUGUAGGGUGUGGAAAAAUUAGCUCAGCGGUCAUUGCCCUUGCGGCUGACCAUACACCUAUGCGCACUUAAAUAGACCCACCUGACCGUAUGUCACUUAUUCUCUCCUUCUCUCAGGUUAUUAAAAUUGUUCGAUGCCGACAUUCUAAAAGCCACUUAAGGGAAGAAAAGUAAAUCACAAAAAUCUAGAAAAGAAAAUAAUGAAAAAUCAUGGAGAGAAGAAAAAAAAUAGAAAAGAAAAUUGUUCAAUAAUAUUAUAUAUUCCUAGACAUUAACUUAGAAUAGAAGAAGAAAAACAUGAAAUUUAUGCGUAGUUAAUAAUAGAUUCUAAAGGGUGCCUGAUCGGUCUCAUUGUGUCCAUGGAAGGGUAUUGGUAAAAUACCUCUUCAUAACGCUUCUUGUUAUUUUGCAUAUUUCUACAUUUCUUUAACAGUUAGAACGUGAAAUUGGGCCCAACGACACCAACAGCUGUUUAAAAGUCUGUAAGUAGACAAACAUAUACACACAUACACUCCGGGUCAGGAGAAUAGCGUCUACACAGUGACCAAUGCAUGCUUAACCAUAUAUAAAAUGAAUUAUUAUUAACUAUAAUCACUACAAUUAUGC
rnacentral:lncRNA from 1 species